rnacentral:tRNA from 1 species
GUAGUUCGGUGUUUGGGCAUGCAAAGUUUUGGACUUUUAGGAAUUAUUUAACUAC